CUGUGUUUUCAGCUCUGUUUUAACUGUUUGUAGGAACGUUUGGAGUAAUUCCAGUCUGUCUUCCCAUUGUGGGAAGGCCUGAACGUCUCAGUGUUCUGUUUAGUUUUCUUUCUUGUUUUUUUUUUUAAACAAAAUGGAGUUGCAUGAAGUGUUUCCUGUUUAGACCAAAACCUGAUAGGUAAAGCUGACAGGUUGUCAGAAAACUUAACUAAAUGUUCAAAAGCUCUUUCAUGCCCAGAGAGAUUGUUUGGCGCAAUUGAAAACAUUCACUUAAAUUUAAAUGACUUGGGGGGGGGGGCGAACCCCAGAAGUGUACUAUCCCUUUAAAAAGAGCCCUCCAAAACGGUAAUAGUCCUACGCUAUGUAAAACCACAUCAUUAUUCAUUGUAAUCCAGGCUGUGGUCUACCACCCAUCCUCCCACUGUAUCCCACUGAAUUCAGAGCUGCUGCACAUUCGCAGAUAAUUUCAUUGAAUGCCAUUACAGUGCAUACAUCUAUCAGCUUGUAGGUUUCCAUUAUACAGCAAGUCUUUUUCCUCCCGGUCCAGGGAUGACCCGUCUGGUCCCCUGUCACUGAUGUCCUAAUAGCCUAUGACCAUCGUAGUGCACGGAACCCUGACUCCCAUUAUAACCAUUAAUGAGGGACCAGAUAGGUCACAGCCGGUCUGUGUGUUCAUGGAUCCCCAUGCUUUUAUUUCCAUCCAUUUCACAGAGCUUCAGACUAAAUAAUUCUACCUGCCAGCAAUGUGCUCUCACAAUAUAACAAUCUGUUUGGAUUAGAUAAUGGGUUGCUUUGUUACUAAUGUAGACUGUGAUGUCAUAAUUUCUGAACAUUUGCAAUCGAUCGUCUGUGCAAUAGACAAUUAUAUACACAGAUAUGUGAGGUGCUUGUUCUUUUAACUUUCAUUUUUAUACAUUUUGGAGCUGUCCAGUGGCAUGUCCUGCACACAUUCAGUUGUUUGCAUCCCGUCUGGAGGAUUUGCCCACGCCAGCUGAGAAAGUAUCACACUCCUCCAGUGCACUGGGUGGGUGGCUCAGCUGGUGGACUGCAGUAUGGAAAGAACCAGCAGUUUGUUGUAUGCUUUACAGUUGACUUGCAUGCCAGACUGCGCUGCACUAACUUGACAGAAUUAAGACGGCACAAUAAAAAAUGGUGGCAUAUUUCACAAAUUGAUUUUUAUGUGAACAUGCUUGUAAAAAAUAUAUUCAACAUUGUAAAUUGAAAAUCAGUCAUGUUAAAAAUUACUGCUAUUUUUCAGCGGAAGGUGCACCCGCCAUGUCUGUAGCAAACAACCGGGAAGAAUUACACGGCUGUGUGUGGAGACUGGGAGGUGGUGUUCCGUGGAAGAAACCUGCUGCAUCACUGCCUCCUGAUCUGCUUGGAGACAGCAGUCGAGAGCAAUACUCCCAGACCAAGCAGACUACGGUGACCUUCCACAAAGCCAUUAGAGAGAGGCAUUAGGGCGCCUGCUCACAGGAUGCACUUAGCAUAUUCCAGACCAAAGAGAAGGCCCCCCCGCACCCCCCUCCUCCAAGGACCCAUUUUAUAUAUCACUGACUGGAGAGGCCCAACUUGCCACAGGAACCUCACAUUACCAGGCAUUGUCCACCACAUGGGCAUUAUGGACUGGAGGUUCCCAGUUUCUUCGUAAGGUGAACCACUGGGAAUGCAAAUGCACUGCACUGUUGAGAAGGGAGCGAGGCAUUGGGCAUUGCGGGGGUCAUGUGCCGAGAGGCUAUGUGUCCCCUCAUUGAUCCAGGUGCCUGGGAGGGGCAGAAAUCUGGUUCUGGGGACCUAGGUCUGACUUGCUCAUCCUCUGCCUGAAGCAAGUGAACGAUCGGGCUGCAGAUGGAGGAGAAGGCAGAGUGUGCUGAGAGUGAAUUGCUCUCCUGCAGCCAGCCGAUGCCAGUCUCAGCCUCACACAGUGGGGGAGCAGCUGCCUCAUUCGCAGUCUCCAGCCAGGAAAGAGCUCUGAGGGGACCAGGAGUCGCACAAAGAGAAAACAACCAAAGUCUCCCAAAGACAGAGAGCAGCAUUCAGCUUCUCAGGAAGCAACAUGCGGUCUCGCUCUCUCACAGAAAGAAACGUGCCGUCCCCAACGGAUGCUGAAAUUUAGACUCCAGUAUGCUUUAGUGGCAUGGGAGGCAAUAGCAUAUGUUUGUCUUACAGAUAGAAAGCCACAGACUGUCAAACAGUGGCCUCUCCCACUGUGAUGAUUCUAAGAACUCUGUGGUACAGAGGAUGCUGGACGUUAGGCAUUUUAAGUUAAAAAAAAAUCACAAAGGAAAUUCAGAGGCUCUUUGCUCUGACAGAUUUCCAGCAGUAACAGAAAAUACGUUCAUCGCCCCCACCCACCCACACACCUCCACACUAUCUGAAGUAGCAAUCAGGUUGAAGAGGGCAAACACAGACAUCAGCUUGAUUGAGUUAUCCAUUCCUAAAGCACCUGUCCUCUCCCAGAAUGCUUUCCUUUCGUCCCCUGGAUCUGUGCAUCUUGCAUACAAACUCAGCAGCUGUGUGCAGUGAAUAAGUAGACCAAAAGGUAAAUGGACAGGUGCAUGUAUGUGCAAUGUAGGCUACAGUGUGCACAAGUGUGCACAAUGGAAAAUAAAUUAAGAAUGAUCCUGUUUCACAGAUUGUAAGAUAUCAUCCAUCAUUAAUCAAUUAUCAUCUAUGCACAGUGAGUGCAGCACAGAUAAAAUGUUUUUUUUUUUACAUUUCUUUCAGGAAUAGAAAACCAAAAGUUUGCUGACAGACAAUUUACGUGGCUGAUGGUUUUAGACCGAUUUGGAAAGAGACAGAAACACAAAGGCUAAUCAUUUUCACUACAUAAAUGUUUUGCAAUGCCAUGGCAGCUGAGGAUACUUGAUAAAUAAUGUUAUUAUUUUCCAUUACCACUGAACCAUGAGAAAAUACCUGCUUUAUGCAAGAUAAUGUGAAGAUGAUGAUGAAUCAACUUUCAAUUGCUGCUUUUGAAAAUAACUCAAGGUCCAAUCAUUGCUGUCUCAAAAGGAAAUAUUUCGAGUGCUUACAGGUCUACGUGCAAGAGCAAACUCCUAUUCCUCCCAAACUAUGCACAAGCAGUGUAAUUAAAUUUGGAA